rnacentral:rRNA from 1 species
CCUACGGGAGGCUGCAGUGGGGAAUAUUGGGCAAUGGGCGCAAGCCUGACCCAGCAACGCCGCGUGAAGGAAGAAGGCUUUCGGGUUGUAAACCUCUUUUCUCAGGGACGAAGCAAGUGACGGUACCUGAGGAAUAAGCCACGGCUAACUACGUGCCAGCAGCCGCGGCAAUACGUAGGUGGCAAGCGUUAUCCGGAUUUACUGGGUGUAAAGGGCGUGUAGGCGGGACUGCAAUUCAGGUGUGAAAACCACGGGCCCAACCUGUGGCCUGCAUUUGAAACUGUAGUUCUUGAGUACUGGAGAGGCAGACGGAAUUCCUAGUGUAGCGGUGAAAUGCGUAGAUAUUAGGCGGAACACCAGUGGCGAAGGCGGUCUGCUGGACAGCAACUGACGCUGAGGCACGAAAGCGUGGGGAGCAAACAGGAUUAGAUACCCCUGUAGUC